UAACACUCUAAUCUGUUAGAUGCGACAUCUAACCCCAGCACUCACACUCCACUCCUGUUUCCCGCCAAGAGUUGCAGUGAGGGCCUAGGAAGCAUGGAGGUACUCACUAAAUUGGGGGGACAGAGAGUCUGUUGAUUAUUUUCAUUCAUGAGGUAUUUUUUCAUUGACUACUGAGUCCCUGGCAUAAUUUUGGAGAUCACAGAAGUGAGCCCAAACCCCUCACUUCCCUGAGGGAGACUGCAGUCUCAUUGGCCUGGGAAAUGAGAGCUAAGUGACUCCAUGUGUAAAUCAGUAGCAUACAUUCAUUCAUUCACCCACUUUGUGCCCUGCCGUGUGCAGAGUUAGGGGUUUAAGAAAGAGCUAGACAUAUUCCUGCUUAUUUCUAAACAAGGAGAUUUAGAAAUCAGCAUUGUACGCACAUCUUAAUUUGGACUGACCACACUUCAAAGUGUUCAACAGCCACAUGGGGGUAAAGCUAUGGUAUUAGCUCAGGUUUCAUCUAUGCUUGGAGAGCCUGGAGCCACCCGGAAAGGCUGAGCGGCUGAAUCAAAUGUCCUGGCUCAGUAUGGACUGAAUUUGUACUGAUGCUGUGACAUAAAAUGAAAAGGUCUCUUGAAAGAGCAAUUCUUGAUCUCUGCUUGCCCUUCUCAUAGAAGCAGAAGUCGAGGAAAUUCUGGGUGUUUUAUUUUGUUUUGUUU